rnacentral:lncRNA from 1 species
CAGUGGUAUCAGAGUGCAGCUAGUGCUUGUUUUCGCUCGAUGAUCUGUUUUUAAUAUGGAUAGAUCUUUAAUAUGGGUAGAUUUUGAAAUUAUGCGCUCAUAGGAACUAAGAAUUUCUAGGGUUUGGAUCCUUGUGAAUUGUUCGGAAUCGCGAGUGGAUAUAGGGAGAGAGGGUUUUAGGGAUUUGAGGAAGAGAUCGAACCCGGAGAGAGGAAAUUGGGGGAGGAGGAAACCCUAGAAGAGGAAGAGGUGAUUAGGCCACAGCGACGAGGGAAGGAGAAGGAGAGAGGCGGAGAACGGCGGCGAUGAGGGCGAGGGUGAGGCGGCGAUAGGGGAAUUCGAUAGGUGAGGAAAUUUCUCUCUGUCACUUUGAAGAAAUUUUUGCAUGGACCUCGGUCCAUGGACCAAGUCCCCAAAUGCUAAAUAUAUUUAAAUUUUUUUCAAUAUUUUAUUAAAAAAAUAUUAGAGUAAAUGUUGUGGACAAUGCAAUAUCAAACUAAGUCUAAAUAAAUUUCGUACGUAGCAUUUAUUUAAAACACUCUCAAUAUAUAGAUUUCUAUAUUUAAUGAAUUAAUUUGUAAUUAUUUGAUGUUUAUUUAUUAAAUUUAAAUAUAUAAUUUAGAGUAGGUUAUAGCUUAGAUUUGCUAAGUUAUAUAAAGGUUUAAUAUACUUUAAUUAGAUAAAUUAAGUCUCAUGAAAACUUAGUUUAAUUUAAUUAAAUCAUAUAUCAACGAUUUUAAACCAUUAUAAUAAUUAAUUUAAACCGCUAGUAAAAUAUAGUUUUGUCAAUACUUAUGUUAAGUGUUAGUAAAAAAA